GUGGAACAUUUCUGCACAAUCCAUCACAUAUUUGUGGCCGUGCUCUGUAUCUUUGUCCUCCAACAAAUCAUUGUGGAUUCCAUCGAUGAAGGACGUCUUGUUUUGGAUUUCGAGUCUUUAUCAUUGGCUUUCGACAGCUGCCCACAGCACUCUUGGCCUGGCUCUGCAUGUUCCUCUACACCUUAUUUGUGCCCUAUCAGGCCCUGCAAAUGUGGUCAGGCUGCUUGAAGAUGACCAGGUUCCCCAACCUCUUGACGGCCACCUUGGUGUUCCUGGUGCUGCUCUGCCAUGCUACAGUGCUGGGAUUCUUUCCUGUCUAUAUUAUUGUCUACUCUAAUUUGGGAAUUGCCUCCCGUAAAAUUGUCCUCUUUGAGCAGGUAUGGCACUGGGGCAGCACAAAGAAAGUGGGUACAGGGGAAAGGAGUUCUUAAACAGAAAUGGGAGAAGCUAAGGUUGACGUUUGAAGUGAAGUUGGAAUUAUGAAGGAAUUCUGGUUGCCUCAGGACAUCUCAGUGUG